GCUCCCAGUAGGCCAGCCUGGUGACAGAGUGAGUUCCAGGACAGACAGGACAGGGGUUUUUCUGUGUACAGAGAAACCCUGUCAGGAAAAAGAAAAGAAAAGAAAAAGGAAGUUGAAAAUGUUCUACUCCUCUCUUGUCUGGUGACUCUCCAAGACACUCUCCUCAGUUGUCAUCCUCGAGUGUUUCUUUCCUUCUCUUACUUUAUGUCACUCGAUUAGUGUCACCACCAUCUUUAUUAGUGUGUGUUGGAGAUGCACAUUGGGCCACUCAGGUCUUCUGAGCUCCUGGCAGUGAUCAACUGCAACCAUCUGAUCUUGCAUGGUCUUUAGUCUUGUGAAUGUUUUUGAAUUCUUUAUUUGAAGGUGUUCUCCAUUCCCCACCUCCUGCCCCUGGAACAAUUCUUAGUUGGAUGUAGAAUUUGAAUGGCUAGUCAGUGCUCUGAUUAUUUUUAUGAAUAUUGCAGAUUUUUGUCCUUCAUACUUUAUAUUGACUCUUGUAUUGAAAUUUUACUGUUUGUUGGUUUUUUUGUUUUGUUUUGUUUUAAAACAAUUUCUUUGAAAACAGAUGUGGUGGUGCGUGCUUUUAAUCCCUGAAAAAGCAGGAGGGUGUCUGCGUUUGAGGACAGCUUGGUUUACAUAGUGAAUUCCAGGAUAGACAGGGCUACUUUUACUUAUUUACUUAUUUUUAAAGAAUGUUAUCUCAGGAUAUUGAUAGAUUAAUUAAUCAUUAGUGGCUUUUUAUUUUUCAGUUUUAUUUUGUGCCUUUUAUUUUAAUUCAUACUCUUUCUGCUUGGUCUCUUUUCAUGUUGGAAAGUUUCUCAUAUUUGUUAAAUGCUUGUUUCCUGUUUCACACGGAGGUGUUAAGAUUAAGAUGUUUCUUCCUGGGCUCAAAGUACACUCAUCAGUCAGUCCUUUAUGUUGUGGUAUGACUGUGUAGGCUUGGAGGUGUCUGGUUUCCAGGAUUAUUAUAUGUAAUUAUUUUCUUUGGGACUAUUUAGUUUCUCUAGAGAUGGAUUUUUAGAAAUCUGUUUGUUAACUAUGGGAGUGGAUUUAGUUUUAAGUAGUUCGUUGUAGUGGCUUUCUCUAGCUAGCUAGUUUAUAGGAAUAGUGUAGCUAUUAUUUGAUUGUGAAAACUUACCUAAUUGUAUUGCUUGUAUUCUCAGAGCCCUUCUAGCAUUUCUACUCCAGAGCUUUGUGUGCUUUUUUUGCUUUUAAAAGCAGGCAGAGAUACUACUGUAGCUGAAUGGUUUAGACAAAUUUUUUAGAAACCUAACUAUUAGAAUUAAACAAAGGAAAGUUAUUUCUUGAGUUUUCCCCCCUUCAGGGCCCCUCUUUUCAGUUGAUUUAUUUGCCUGAUGGGGAUUGAACCCCAGACCCUGCACAUGCUAAUAAAUACAUGCACUCGACCACUAAGCUGUAUCCUCAGAGCAUAGCUUUAUUUUUAUGUCUUUGAAAACUAGGACUGAAAUACAAGGAAGUUCAGAAUUAAGUUCAGUAAAAUUCCACCACGACAGAUCGAUACUCUUGAGGGUUAUUUUAAAAGCAAAUUUACCCACUCUAAUACAGUACUAGGUAUGUCAAAGUUUGCAUCUAGUUUUCACCUUUAGACUGAGUUGGCAUACUUUUCACUGGUUCUGUUUAAGCAGUAGAUGUUAGACAUUUACCUUGUAAGCCUGACUUAACAGGCCAUGUUUUCAUUGUCAGAUCGGUCAAUUAAAGCUAGCAUUCCUUGGAAAGACACUUCGAUGGAAUUAAAAGAAUUCUCUUGUAUUCUUUGUAUUCACAAGAAAUCCCUUGGUGUUUCUUGUGAUGGGUCUCUCUUACCAGAUUGUUCUCAUGGCACUCCUUAGCUGUGGACCAGUGCUCCCUUUUCCAGUACUUGUCGUAUUUGUGCCAGCUAAUAUAUCUAAUUUCUCUGAUGAGAAUGUGGUCUUCUGGUGCCCUUUAAACUUUUACCUUUUCAUCAUCUAUUUUUUGUGUUUAAUUUUUGAUUUAUAAUAUUAUUCCUAAAUCCAUACAUUCUCAUGGAAUAGUCUGGUUUGAACUGCAUUUUAUUUUGAUAAAAAGGAAAAACAUACUAUCUCCCUCCCCCCCUUUUUUCCCCCAAGACAGGAUUUCUCUGUAUAGCCCUGGCUGUCCUGGAACUCACUUUGUAGACCAGGCUGGCCUGGAACUCAGUAUUUUGAUAAAAAGGAAAAACAUACUAUUCCCCCCCCCCCUUUUUUUUUCCCCAAGACAGGAUUUCUCUGUAUAGCCCUGGCUGUCCUGGAACUCACUUUGUAGACCAGGCUGGCCUGGAACUCAGAAAUCCGCCUGCCUCUGCCUCCUGAGUGCUGGGAUUCAAGGCUUGCGCCACCACUCCUGGCACAUACCAUCCCAUUCUUACUGGGGCAAAGUGUGUUGUGUAGAAGAGCUACUGCUUUCAAACUCCCUCUGUAACUGAGGAUGACCUUGAAGUACUCUCUCCUGCCUUCUCCCAAGUGCUGGCGUGGCUUGUUGAAGAAAGCUUUACAGGGCAUCAUGGCUGCUUUUUCACUUGCUGAUUU
rnacentral:lncRNA from 1 species